rnacentral:rRNA from 1 species
UGGGGAAUCUUGGACAAUGGGCGCAAGCCUGAUCCAGCCAUGCCGCGUGAGUGAUGAAGGCCCUAGGGUUGUAAAACUCUUUCGUGGGGGACGAUAAUGACGGUACCCCAAGAAGAAGCUCCGGCUAACUUCGUGCCAGCAGCCGCGGUAAUACGAAGGGGGCUAGCGUUGUUCGGAUUUACUGGGCGUAAAGCGCGUGUAGGCGGACUGGAAAGUUGGGGGUGAAAUCCCGAGGCUCAACCUCGGAACUGCCUCCAAAACUUCCAGUCUGGACUCAAGCAGAGGCAAGUGGAAUUGCGAGUGUAGAGGUGAAAUUCGUAGAUAUUCGCAGGAACACCAGUGGCGAAGGCGACUUGCUGGGCUUGUAGUGACGCUGAGACGCGAAAGCGUGGGGAGCAAACAGG